GUCUAUGGUCAUGCUACCCUGAACAAGCCCGAUCCCGUCUGAUCUCGGAAGCUAAGCAGGGUUGGGCCUGGUUAGUACUUGGAUGGGAGACCACCUAGGAAGACCAGGUGCUGUAGGCA
rnacentral:rRNA from 1 species